rnacentral:rRNA from 1 species
AACGAACGCUGGCGGCAGGCUUAAUACAUGCAAGUCGAGGGGUAGCAAGAUUGUAGCAAUACAAUUGUUGACGACCGGCAAACGGGUGCGGAACACGUACACAACCUUCCUACAAGUGGGGAAUAGCCCAGACAAAUUUGGAUUAAUACCCCGUAACAUAGCGAUGUGGCAUCACAUUGCUAUUAUAGCUUCGGCGCUUGUUGAUGGGUGUGGAGGCUGAUUAGAUAGUUGGCGGGGUAACGGCCCACCACGUCGACGAUCAGUAGCUGAUGUGAGAGCAUGAUCAGCCACACGGGCACUGAGACACGGGCCCGACUCCUACGGGAGGCAGCAGUAAGGAAUAUUGGACAAUGGACGCAAGUCUGAUCCAGCCAUGCCGCGUGAAGGAUUAAGGUCCUCUGGAUUGUAAACUUCUUUUAUAAGGGACGAAAAAAGGUCUUUCUAGAUCGUCUGACGGUACCUUAUGAAUAAGCACCGGCUAACUCCGUGCCAGCCGCCGCAGUAACAC